GUAGGUGAACCUGCGGAAGGAUCAUUAAUGUUACGGGCCGCGGUUUAACACCCGUGGAACCGGUUAACCCCAUGUUGUCUAUCACCUUGUUUCUUUGGCGGGUUCAUCCGUCAGAAGACAUCUCAAACCCUUGAAUCUGUCGUCUGAAUGAAAUAUCAAAUAAAGCAAAACUUUCAACAACGGAUCUCUUGGUUCUGGCAUCGAUGAAGAACGCAGCAUCUGACUGACUACGUGGUUACGUAUCUCGUAU
rnacentral:misc_RNA from 1 species